UCUCCGUAGGUGAACCUGCGGAGGGAUCAUUACUGAGUGAGGGCUCACGCCCGACCUCCAACCCUUUGUGAACACAUCUUGUUGCUUCGGGGGCGACCCUGCCGGCACUCGGUCGCCGGGCGCCCACGCAGGUCUACCAACACUGCAUCUUUGCGUCGGAGUUUAAAACAAAUUAAACAAAACUUUCAACAACGGAUCUCUUGGUUCUGGAAUCGAUGAAGAACGCAGC
rnacentral:misc_RNA from 1 species